UACGUAGGGGGCAAGCGUUGUCCGGAAUCAUUGGGCGUAAAGCGCGUGUAGGCGGUUCGGUAAGUCUGCUGUGAAAGUCCAGGGCUCAACCCUGGGAUGCCGGUGGAUACUGUCGAACUAGAGUACGGAAGAGGCGAGUGGAAUUCCCGGUGUAGCGGUGAAAUGCGCAGAUAUCGGGAGGAACACCAAUUGCGAAGGCAGCUCGCUGGGACGUCACUGACGCUGAGACG
rnacentral:rRNA from 1 species